CUCUUUAAAAAUCCAGAGCUGGAAGGAAACUUGAAGCAUUAUCCAGGUGAUCCCUUUGCGCUGCUCCAAGACUGCUCUCCAGCCUUCCCUGAAGAUGUCUCUCCAUCCCUCGGUGUUAAUGCCUCCUGUGUUGUCCCUGCAGACACUGAACGGGCGGUGGAAAUUCUAAGCAGAUACCAGAGCACCCUGCAGUCCCCGGAGGAGCAGGAGCUGAAAGCCUCCAUUGGAAAAGUCUCGCACAUCUUUCAAAGUGAACUCUUCCAGGCUCUGCUGGAUAUUCAUGAAUUCUACGAUCUCACGCUGCGCUCUGCGCCCCUGCAGCCUCCCAGCCCGGAGGCACGUGGUGGCACAGCCAGGCAGCGGCGUGGGGCCGGCGAGCCCGGCUCUGCCAUCGCACCCAGAGAGCCCCAAAACCUCCCCGAGGUAAGAGCCUCCUCUGGCACCACGCUGGGGGGUCAGACCCUGCACCAGGAGGGAGGCAAAGGGGCACGGAAGGCUGCUGCCCACCGCAGCUCCCCCCCAGAGCGUUCCUACACCUCCCCUCUCAUAGCUUGUCUCAUUAAUAAGGCAACUUCUGUGGUUCACAAGUGUUAAUUGAAUUACUCCUGAUGCAAAUAGCUUCUGCUCCAGCUCUGGUUCCUGCUCUGCCGUUGCAGCUGGAUUAGUUGCUCCGUCUGAUGCUGUCUCCCACGGAGACGUUUCGGCUCUCUGAUCCAGCCACCUCGCAGGCUGCUUUUGAUAAGUGAAGUAGGUUGAGUCUUUUAAGUUUCCCUAUUCAGGAUUUUUUUUUUUUUUUUGCUUUCCAGCUCUCAGAUAAUUUCUGUCUCUCUUAUUUGCAUUCUUUUCAAUUUUCAACAGCCUUUUAAAAGAUACGGCACCAGGUGGGGAGGCAGCAAUUGAGCAGUGGGGUCUCAGUUAUUUCAAAGGCACCAAGGUAAAUAAAAUUGCCUUGUGCCUUCUCA
rnacentral:lncRNA from 1 species